CCCUUAGAUGUCCUGGGCCGCACGCGCGUUACACUGAUGCAUUCAACGAGCUUAUAACCUUGGCCGAGAGGCCUGGGCAAUCUUAUUAACGUGCAUCGUGAUAGGGAUAGAUUAUUGAAAUUAUUAAUCUUGAACGAGGAAUUCCUAGUAAACGCAGAUCAUCAAUCUGCAUUGAUUACGUCCCUGCCCUUUGUACACACCGCCCGUCGCACCUACCGAUUGGAUGGUCCGGUGAAGCCUCGGGAUUGUGGUUCUUGCCGCUUUAUUGUGGCGUGACCGCGAGAACUUGUCUAAACCUUAUCAUCUAGAGGAAGGUGAAGCCGUAACA
rnacentral:rRNA from 1 species